rnacentral:SRP_RNA from 1 species
GCCGAGCACAGUGGCGUGUGCCUGUAAUAUUGCUGUUUGGGAGGCUAAGGCUGAGGGAUUGCUUGAGUCUGGGAGUUCUAGUCUGCCCUGAGCCAUGUCGAUCGGGUGUCCGCACUAAGUUCAGUAUCAAUAUGGUGUUCCUGGGGGAGCUUGGGAUCACCAGGUUGUCUAAAGAGGGGUGAACCGAUCCAGGUCGGUAACGGAGCAGGUCAAA